CAAAUUUCCCAAAGUGCACAACAAAAGAUUCGACAUUGGUAACUUGAACCUCUUUGAAACACCCAGGUAAGCCAUUCCCAGUUCUCUAGAUUUUCCACCGAUAAAACCCAUUCAAGAUUUAAGUAUUCCAAAUUUCCAUUGAAACAGGGCAUUCUCUAAACACGUGGGCUAUAGUCUCCAUCCCCUAUCUUCACCUAAGACAAAUUGUAUUCACUCGAAUCCUUCUGUGAUGUAGAUUUACUAGGGUUGGUAUGAAAUUCCAAGAGACUUUCCAUACUGUAAUCUUCUGUUUGGUUGUAAGCUCAAGGCUCCAUAGUUUUCUGUAAAAUUUUAUCAUGUCAUUCUAUAAUUCAAUAGUAGUAGAAUCGGUUGUAUUAACAAGCAACAGUUUGUACCCACUCCUGAUCGAAUACUCACCAGAAGCCUCCUCCCUCCAUACCACCAUAUCAUCAUGUUCCACCGAGGCUAAAGGGAUCCUCAGAAUUCUACCUGCAUCAAUUUCAAAAAAGGUAUCCACAAUAAUUGCAACUUUC
rnacentral:lncRNA from 1 species